GCUCAAACUGUAGCAAGCCUAGCUUCAUCAGACCAAGGGUCCAUUCUGUUGUGGUCAUGGUUAUGAAGAUGCCUUCUAACAGUACAAAAGCAGGUGAAGAAAUCUUCCUUCUACAAUCAAACUUGAACAGCUUCCUCCAUCUUCAUGGAAACUUUAAAAAAAGUCUUCAUCUUUUAUUAACCUCCCCUUGCUGUGUUCAAGAAGGUCCUGCCCACAGAACCCAGAGGUGGGAAAACAAGAAAGAAGAUUAUUGGAUUCUCAUGUAUUAUAUGAUUGUUUCCUGUUGCAUUUCUCCCUUAUCCUGUUUCCUAAGUUGCUAUUUGAUUUCACCUCAGAAUGCUACCUACAGCUGAGCCCUGUCCAGAUUUUAGCUGUAAUUCUGUACUCGUUU
rnacentral:lncRNA from 11 species